CGUAAUUAUUCGCUAACAAAAUAUGGCAACUGUGAAUGCGUAGAACGAAUUUUAAAUUGUCACAAAUUGUUUGUUUCUAAGUUUUUGUUGUGUGUUUUGUUUACAGAAAGGAUUUAAAUGAAGUAUUUUGAAAAGAGUGUGAUUCAUAUGAAGAAUAAAUGUGUUGGUAGGUGCACUUUGAUGGAAACAAGCUACUUUUAUUCAAAGAUGUUUGUGCUUCUUUUAUACAGUUGUGCUUAUUUAUCUGUGUUUUUCCCUUGAAGAAAAAAUCCGUUUUAUAAUAAAAGAAGUGUUUCUAUCUUAUAUAAUUACUCUAAACACUAUGUCAGAGGAGUUGAGACUUGAACUGCUUGGGCUCGAAAGUGAUACCAAUGUUACAGAAAUUUGGAAAAUCAAUAAAAAAGUAGCUUACGAAAGCUAUUUGAUUGGAGCUAGAGGCACUCAUUUUGUAAUGUGCUGUCUUUUUGCUGGAAUUGCUAUCCAGUUUGGCUCUAAGAAAUAUCACUACCCUUACACUGUUGGUUGCUUCAUAUUUGGAUUUGUCAUAGGAAUUUUAGCGCUUAAUAGUUCAUUUAUACAAGAUUAUACUGCCAUCACUAAAAUGGAUCCUAGUAAUUUGAUGCUUAUCUUUCUCCCAAUUCUUAUUUUCGAAUCUUCUUUCUCAAUGGAUGCUCAUAUGUUCUUCAGAGCCUUACCACAAUGUAUUGCACUUGCUG